rnacentral:rRNA from 1 species
UCAGCUUGUUGGGGGGGUAACGGCCUCCCAAGGCGACGACGGGUAGCUGGUCUGAGAGGAUGGCCAGCCACAUUGGGACUGAGAGACGGCCCAGACUCCUACGGGAGGCAGCAGUGGGGAAUCUUGCGCAAUGGCCGAAAGGCUGACGCAGCGGCGCCGCGUGUGGGAGGACGCCUUUCGGGGUGUAAACCACUGUUGCCCGGGACGAACAGCCUUAUUCAUAAGGUCUGACGGUACCGGGUGAGGAAGCACCGGCUAACUCCGUGCCAGCAGCCGCGGUAAUACGGAGGGUGCGAGCGUUGUCCGGAAUCAUUGGGCGUAAAGGGCGCGUAGGUGGCGCGGUAAGCGUGCGGUGAAAGCUCGGGGCUCAACCCCGGGUCGGCCGUGCGAACUACUGGGCUUGAGCACUGUAGAGGCAGGCGGAAUUCCGGGUGUAGCGGUGGAAUGCGUAGAGAUCCGGAAGAAUACCGGUGGCGAAGGCGGCCUGCUGGGCAGUAGCUGACACUGAGGCGCGACAGCGUGGGGAGCAAACAGGAUUAGAUACCCUGGUAGUCCACGCCGUAAACGAUGGGCACUAGGCGCUUGGGGGAGCGACCCCCCGAGGGCCGGCGCUAACGCAUUAAGUGCCCCGCCUGGGGAGUACGG